rnacentral:snRNA from 1 species
UCUGUGUUGCUGCAUGCCUGCAU